rnacentral:tRNA from 1 species
UCCCUGGUGACUCAGUAAAGUAUCUGCCUGCAAUGCAGGAGACCCAGAUUUGAUCCCUGGUUUGGGAG